UACGUAGGGUGCGAGCGUUAAUCGGAAUUACUGGGCGUAAAGCGUGCGCAGGCGGCGCGUUAAGACAGGUGUGAAAGCCCCGAGCUUAACUUGGGAAUUGCGCUUGUGACUGGCGAGCUGGAGUGUGGCAGAGGGAGGUGGAAUUCCACGUGUAGCAGUGAAAUGCGUAGAGAUGAUGGAGGAACACCGAUGGCGAAGGCGGGUCUCUGGGACGGUACUGACGCUGAGGCGCGAAAGCGUGGGGAGCGAACAGG
rnacentral:rRNA from 1 species